rnacentral:rRNA from 1 species
UGGGGGAUAUUGCACAAUGGGCGAAAGCCUGAUGCAGCGACGCCGCGUGGUGGAUGAAGGCCUUCGGGUUGUAAACUUCUUUUGCUCUUAACAAGGCAUGCCUUUGGUGUGUGUUGAGUGUAGGGGUUGAUUAGCGCCGGCUAACUACGUGCCAGCAGCCGCGGUAAUACGUAGGGCGCGAGCGUUGUCCGGAAUUAUUGGGCGUAAAGGGCUUGUAGGUGGCUGGUUGCGUCUGUCGUGAAAGCUCAUGGCUUAACUGUGGGUUUGCGGUGGGUACGGGCUGGCUUGAGUGCAGUAGGGGAGGCUGGAAUUCCUGGUGUAGCGGUGGAAUGCGCAGAUAUCAGGAGGAAUACCGGUGGCGAAGGCGGGUCUCUGGGCUGUUACUGACGCUGAGGAGCGAAAGCGUGGGGAGCGAACAGG